AACGGUCUAUACCUGCGGUACCUGCGGAGGGAUCAUUACAGAGUGUUCUACCCCCUUUGCAAAAAAUGGUGGGUUUAACCUCCCGUCCUUUGCUGGACCCCUCCUAAAUGGGGGGGGCCUUUUAAACCUUUUUGCUUCGGUGGGGUACACCCCACCGGAACAUCCUCAAAAAAUUCUUGAACAAAACCGGUUCAGUCCGAGAAAUUUUGUGGAAAAUUAGUGAAAAACUUUUAACAAUGG
rnacentral:misc_RNA from 1 species